rnacentral:lncRNA from 1 species
AGUGAAUUCUACAAAGAGGCUAUGGGAAAGAAACCUGGAAAGUACCCUUGGCUGUGUACAUUUGAGUAAAGAGAGCACUAUAAAAUCAAAAACCAAUGAAAUGGUUUCCAGAACACAGAACUAUUAAGCUUAAGAAAAGGACAGAAGGAACUGAAGAGAGAGGAACUGUUUUGGAGCAUCACACUUCCACCUCAGAAGAAAUAAGGAAGGAAGGAGGAGGGUGUUCCCACGGCUCUUCAACCAGGCCGGCUCUUCAGCCUACAUCCCCAUCUCAUCAAGUAAAAGGGAUUUUUCAACUGGACCAACCAGAUGGUUUAACAGUGCACUCCCACACCAUUCAACUACGCAAGGGAGAUACACUUAACAUAUGCAGUCGUAUAACACCUACUAACAUUUUCAAACAUUAAACCUUUAAAAAAGAGUUCUAAAGAAAUAGAAGCUUGAAGUAUCAUCUCUCAAGUAUAUAGACACUACUUCAUGGUGUGGUAAUAUAUGCAUAUAGAAGCUAGUAAACACCUCCAGGAGAUGCAAAAGGAAUUAGAACUGCCACAAGGUGCAAGCAAAACCUUGAGUCUCCAUUGAUGGUGAAGUAUUUUCACUAUUUGGCAUGUCUUCUCUAGUACCUAGAGCAGUGCGUUGCAUGCAGUAGCAGGUUUAUAAACAUUUGCGAGUAAAACAUCCAACCUGAUACUCAAGGUAAUCAAUCUGCAUCCCAUUUUGGAUGAGAAUAUUUGCAACUUUGAAGGUUAUUUUAAGGACAGCAGCAGAAGAAUUAUGGCAGCUCUUCACGGAAAAAAAAAUGGCAACAAUAAAAUCAGCAACUCCUGCCAAAUAAAUGGGCAUAAAAAAGAAAUCAUAGACUGCUGGCAAUGGUGGGGAAAAAGUUAUAAAAAUUGUCUCUGCACCAUCUUCCUUUUGUCCUCUAAAAUAUUCACAUUAGCAAAAGUAUAUAACAGCUGAUGAAGAAAUACUGAUAAUUUGUCUUUCUUCUUUAAAAUAUGAAGACUUCGAAGUUAUUUAUCCAAACCAACCUGAUCAUUUCUUAAGAGUGAAUAUACCUUGGAAGACGUGUCCUGCCUUUAGUAGCGUCACAAUGGAUUACAUCCUCUAUAAAGCAGUCUGGGGUGAGAAAAUCGAAUUUGGACACCGUUGAGGAGACUAUUGCAGUCAUCCAAGCUCAAGAUGGUGGAGCUUCAUCCUUGAGAAUAACCAAUGGGGAUAGAUUUAAGAGACACUUAGAGUCUGCAGCCAACAGGGCUGAAUGAGCAGAGAGUUAUGAUUCAGAAGAUCAUCUAAAAUUGAACAGCUGCCACUACUGGCAAUAAGUCUACUGCCAUUUGGUAGAUAACCUUCUUAUCACACAGAAAAAUAUCAGUACAGACAAAUAGACCGCAAAGAAAAUGAGACCAUCAGCAAAGAAGAUAAAGAAGUUUGUACAAAGCAACUUUUUAUAAAUGGAUGGCUGUCAGGCAAAAAUAAAUUUCCUGUGGACAAGACCAAGAGCAAGGCAAGAGGAAAAUAAACAUGUUUAAACUA